rnacentral:rRNA from 1 species
UACGUAGGGGGCAAGCGUUGUCCGGAAUCAUUGGGCGUAAAGAGCGUGUAGGCGGCUCGGUAAGUCCGCUGUGAAAGUCCAGGGCUCAACCCUGGAAUGCCGGUGGAAACUGUCGGGCUAGAGUCCGGAAGAGGCGAGUGGAAUUCCUGGUGUAGCGGUGAAAUGCGCAGAUAUCAGGAGGAACACCGAUGGCGAAGGCAGGUCUCUGGGCAUUAACUGACGCUGAGAAGCGAAAGCAUGGGGAGCGAACAGG